GAGUUCUAUAUAAAAAAAAAAACAUAGAUUUAUCAUAUUACAAUAUUCGUCAUCUGUGGCAUACGUCAAUCUACGACAUUCGUCGAAGACGAUUAACAAUUCUAUAAUAGUCUUAAUUAACAGUACUGAAGUACAUGACAAGUAUUCUCAUUUUCAUUUCGUGCUGUUUAUUUUCAUGAAAAUGAAUUUUUAUUCUCAUUUAGAAUCACGAUGAAGAUCGAUAUGAAGAAAAUUUGCAGUUUCUUCGGCGGCGGUGCACUACUACGUAUAGUCGGAAGAUUGACACAACUCGGUUUCACGGGAACAGUCGACGCUUAAAUCUUGCCAUAAUAUCGGAAAAACAAAAAAACUGAAAUAAUUACGCUAUAUCCUUGUGUAAUGUCAUCCCGGAGGACGAUUGGCAGUAUCAUUAAGAAGCACAUCUAAAUAACAAAAAUAAAUGUCACAAGGCUGUGUUUGUUUAAUACUAUAAUUUUUUGAACAGUAGUACAGUAUAUUAUGAAUAUUUACUUAAAUUAUAUUUAAUUUUUAUGGUUUUUUUUCAGAUAAUAUACUGUACUACGGUUUUAGGUGUUCUUUUUAUUUUAAUAAUACGUUGAUAAAUUACUAAUUUUUUCAAUUUUUUUUUCUUAUCACAAAGCUAGUUCGUCUUUGUGUAUGUUUAAAUUUAUAUUUUUUUAUAGUUAUUGUGCUGUUUAACUUUCUUAUAAAAGAGAGUGAGGAAUUAAAAAGGUGGCCACCGAACAGAAAGAUAAACUGCAAUAUACUAUUAUCUUUUUAGUUCAUGUUUACAUUUUUAAGUUUUAACUGAUAAAUUAUGAAUAUAAAAUUUCAAAUUAAUUUAAAUUCAAAAAUAAAAGAACACCAACAUAGAUUUCUUAAACAUUAAAAUUUUACUAUAAAUUUAAAUUACAUUUAAUCAGCACAUUAGUUGAAGUUUUAUAGGAACCGAACAUUUGAGUGGAUCAUGGACUACCCACCGACGGAGAAUUUGUCAUUGAGCUGAAGGAAAAUGUGUCAGCACUCGGCUUCGUUUCAACCCGGAGGACGUCUAGCAGCAGCAAAAAGAAAUUCAACUGUCGAAAGUAUUUUGAAGAAGAAUUUGUCACAACUCACAAAGCUGAUGGGAAAUGUGUCGGCACUCGGCUUCGUUUCAACCCGGAGGAAGAUUGGCAGCAUCAAGAAGCUCAUCUUAAUUUAGUUGUCCCCCCUUUACGCAUUAGCGCUCAUCUCUCAUCCACUCAUCUAACACAUUGACUAUCGCCGGCCGGCAACACACAUAUAUUAUACACAUUACCCGUUUUAUAUUAUAUAAUAGUAUUAUUAAUAUCCACUUAAUUUAAGUUAUUGUAUAUUUUUUUUUUAUUAUUUGAAUGCAUUCAUAUGAUCAGUGGCGUAUUUAGGAAUUUUAGGAUAAGGGCAACACAUAUUUUGCCGCCUCCCCCACCAUUUAAAAAAAUUAAAAAACUUCUACGCCGCGCAAUGGUCAAACUGUUAAUACCAUAGAAUACCAUGUUAUAUAAAUACUAUAGUAUUUUAUACCUCUAUGGCACACAUUUGUUGUGAAAAAUAUUAAUGAUUGACGUCACUGCGCCAGUACUCAUAAAGUACGAAAUAAAAAUUUGCCGUUCUGGACAACUGGACCCAAAGCCCCUACCUAAAUACGCCCCUGCAUAUGAUGCGUUCUCGCUUACGAUGUGGAUUAGGCCUACUGGGGACACCACAAUAAAAAAACGCGCCUCGUGUAAUACCUCAUAAAGUUAUUAAACAAUACGGACAAUGUUAUUGUACGUCGUUUAAUAAUAAAGGUGGUGUGGAAAAUUACCCAACACUGUUAUUCUUAUCUUAUAGUUACCUAACCUUGCAUACAUUUUUUUAUUAAAUACCAAUUAAAUAAUUAUUUAUAUCAAGAAACGAGAAAUAUUAACGUUUUAUAAAGUAUUUUAAUAAAAUAAUAUUUAAUAUUUAAAAAAUAUUCUUUGAC